rnacentral:rRNA from 1 species
CACGAAGUUAGCCGGGGCUUCUUCUCCGGUUACCGUCAUUAUCUUCACCGGUGGAAGAGCUUUACAACCCUAGGGCCUUCAUCACUCACGCGGCAUGGCUGGAUCAGGCUUGCGCCCAUUGUCCAAUAUUCCCCACUGCUGCCUCCCGUAGGAGUCUGGGCCGUGUCUCAGUCCCAGUGUGGCUGAUCAUCCUCUCAGACCAGCUAUGGAUCGUCGCCUUGGUAGGCCUUUACCCCACCAACUAGCUAAUCCAACGCGGGCUCAUCCAUCUCCGAUAAAUCUUUCCCCCAAAGGGCGUAUACGGUAUUAGCUCCAGUUUCCCGGAGUUGUUCCGUAGAGAUGGGUAGAUUCCCACGUGUUACUCACCCGUCUGCCGCUCCCACCGAAGUGGCGCUCGACUUGCAUGUGUUAAGCCUGCCGCCAGCGUUCGUUCUGAGCCAGGAUCAAACUCUA